AGGAAGCGAGAAGUCGAUGCGCCGAAAGGCGUCCGGCCCUCCGCGAGCACCCGCGGGGGAUCGGGUUCCGGACCCGGUCCGAUCCCGUUCCCACCGAGGGGCUGUCCGCGAUCAUGGAGGUGUCCUCGGACGGCGUCGAAUCCUUCUCCAGUCCGCGACGCUACGGCUUGGAUGGUCCACCCGACCCGUCUUGAAACACGGACCAAGGAGUCUAACAUGCGCGCGAGUCGUUGGGUCGGACACGCUCCGCUAAACCCAUAGGCGCAAUGAAAGUGAAGGCCGCCGUCGGGCGGCCGAGGGAGGACGGGGUCGCACGAGCGUUCCGGCGCGCGUCGGUCCCCGCACCCCCGGGGCGUCUGAUCCCUCAUCGCGAGGGGAGGCGCACCCAGAGCGCACACGUUGGGACCCGAAAGAUGGUGAACUAUGCCUGGCCAGGACGAAGUCAGGGGAAACCCUGAUGGAGGUCCGUAGCGAUUCUGACGUGCAAAUCGAUCGUCGGAGCUGGGUAUAGGGGCGAAAGACUAAUCGAACCAUCUAGUAGCUGGUUCCCUCCGAAGUUUCCCUCAGGAUAGCUUGCGCUCGGAGGAGAGUCUCAUCCGGUAAAGCGAAUGAUUAGAGGCCUUGGGGCCGAAACGGCUUCAACCUAUUCUCAAACUUUAAAUGGGUGAGAACUCCGGCUUGCUCGACUUGUCGAAGCCGGAGACGGGGCUCCGGCCCCCGGGAUCGGAGUGCAUAGUGGGCCACUUUUGGUAAGCAGAACUGGCGCUGUGGGAUGAACCAAACGACGGGUUAAGGCGCCCGAAUCGACGCUCAUGGGAAACCAUGAAAGGUGUUGGUUGCUUAAGACAGCAGGACGGUGGCCAUGGAAGUCGGAAUCCGCUAAGGAGUGUGUAAUAACUCACCUGCCGAAGCAACUAGCCCUGAAAAUGGAUGGCGCUGAAGCGUCGUGCCUAUACCCGGCCGUCGCGGCAGGGCGGACCCGUGAGGGUGCCGUUCGAUGCGGCGACGAGUAGGAGGGUCGCGGCGGCGCGCGCAGAAGGGUCUGGGCUCGAGCCUGCCUGGAGCCGCCGCCGGUGCAGAUCUUGGUGGUAGUAGCAAAUACUCCAGCGAGGCCCUGGAGGACUGAUGUGGAGAAGGGUUUCGUGUGAACAGCCGUUGCACACGAGUCAGUCGAUCCUAAGCCCUAGGAGAAAUCCGACGCCAACGGCGACGGGAAACUUUAAAAAAUUAAUUGACCCGUUGAUCGGGCGAAAGGGAAUCCGGUUCCUAUUCCGGAACCCGGCAGCGGAACCGCUGUUUGUCGGGCCCUCACAAGGGGUUCGUCAGGGUAACCUAAAAGGGCCCGGAGACGCCGUCGGGAGCCCCGGAAAGAGUUUUCUUUUCUGCAUGAGCGUUCGAGUUCCCUG
rnacentral:rRNA from 1 species